rnacentral:misc_RNA from 1 species
AAGUCGUAACAAGGUUUCCGUAGGUGAACCUGCGGAAGGAUCAUUAUCGAAGAAGCAACACUCUUCCAGAUACACCCAGUGAACCGUCAUCCUUCGGGAUGCUAAUUAAUACACACUCCAGCGUUGUCAUUGAAUGUAUACGUUAUAUCAUAACCAAUCAUAA